CUUUCUGGGGGAAUUGAAAGACUAUGACUUAACAAUUAACUGAUAGCCUUUUCCUCCCCAACAG
ensembl:miRNA Mir7073 microRNA 7073